UAGGGAAUCUUCCACAAUGGACGAAAGUCUGAUGGAGCAACGCCGCGUGAGUGAAGAAGGGUUUCGGCUCGUAAAACUCUGUUGUUAAAGAAGAACAUAUCUGAGAGUAACUGUUCAGGUAUUGACGGUAUUUAACCAGAAAGCCACGGCUAACUACUUGCCAG
rnacentral:rRNA from 1 species